AAUAUUGCGCAAUGGUGGAAACUCUGACGCAGCGACGCCGCGUGAGCGAUGAAGGUCUUCGGAUCGUAAAGCACUUUCCUUGGGGAAGAAGAUGGAAAGAUUCGACGGUACCCCAGGCGGCUACACCGGCUAACUACGUGCCAGCAGCCGAGGUAAUACGUAGGGGGUAAGCGUUGUCCGGCAUUACUGGGCGUAAAUGGUGCGUAGGCGGCUUUUUAAGUCAGAUGUGAAAGACCACGGCUUAACCGUGGGGUUGCAUUUGAAACUGGAAGGCUUGAGUAUCGGAGAGGGUAGUGGAAUUCCCAGUGUAGCGGUGAAAUGCGUAGAUAUUGGGAGGAACACCAGUGGCGAAGGCGACUACCUGGACGAAAACUGACGCUGAGGCAUGAAAGCUAGGGGAGCAAACA
rnacentral:rRNA from 1 species